rnacentral:rRNA from 1 species
GUGGGGAAUCUUCCGCAAUGGGCGAAAGCCUGACGGAGCAACGCCGCGUGAGUGAUGAAGGUCUUCGGAUUGUAAAGCUCUGUUAAUCGGGACGAAAGAGCCUAGUGUGAAUAAUGCUAGGAAGUGACGGUACCGGAAUAGAAAGCCACGGCUAACUACGUGCCAGCAGCCGCGGUAAUACGUAGGUGGCAAGCGUUGUCCGGAAUUAUUGGGCGUAAAGCGCGCGCAGGCGGAUCUGCCAGUCUGUCUUAAAAGUUCGGGGCUUAACCCCGUGAUGGGAUGGAAACUACAGAUCUAGAGUAUCGGAGAGGAAAGUGGAAUUCCUAGUGUAGCGGUGAAAUGCGUAGAUUUUAGGAAGAACACCAGUGGCGAAGGCGACUUUCUGGACGAAAACUGACGCUGAGGCGCGAAAGCCAGGGGAGCGAACGGGAUUAGAAACCCGUGUAGUCC